GAUGAACGCUAGCGAUAGGCCUAACACAUGCAAGUCGAGGGGCAUCACAUGAAGUAGCAAUACGGAUGGUGGCGACCGGCGCACGGGUGAGUAACACGUAUGCAACCUGCCUUCAACAAGGGGAUAACCCGUUGAAAGACGGACUAAUACCCUAUAACACAGGGGUCCCGCAUGGGAAUAUUUGUUAAAGGACAACCGGUUGAAGAUGGGCAUGCGUUCCAUUAGCUAGUUGGCGGGGUAACGGCCCACCAAGGCAACGAUGGAUAGGGGAACUGAGAGGUUUAUCCCCCACACUGGUACUGAGACACGGACCAGACUCCUACGGGAGGCAGCAGUGAGGAAUAUUGGUCAAUGGACGCAAGUCUGAACCAGCCACGUCGCGUGAAGGAAGACGGCCCUACGGGUUGUAAACUUCUUUUGCAAGGGAAUAAAGUGGGCCACGUGUGGCCUUUUGCAAGUACCUUGCGAAUAAGGAUCGGCUAACUCCGUGCCAGCAGCCGCGGUAAUUCACU
rnacentral:rRNA from 1 species